rnacentral:rRNA from 1 species
UACGUAGGGGGCUAGCGUUGUCCGGAUUUAUUGGGCGUAAAGCGCGUGUAGGCGGCUAGGUAGGUCCGCUGUGAAAACUCGAGGCUCAACCUCGAGAGGUCGGUGGAAACCAUCUGGCUAGAGUCCGGAAGAGGAGAAUGGAAUUCCUGGUGUAGCGGUGAAAUGCGCAGAUAUCAGGAAGAACACCCGUGGCGAAGGCGGUUCUCUGGGACGGUACUGACGCUGAGACGCGAAAGCGUGGGGAGCGAACAGG